UCUUACCCAACUGUUCACAUCUGUUGGCCCCCAGAUGGCAUGAGGAUGCCUGAGUCUAGUGAGCUCCCUAGAGAACAAUUUCCCUUUUCUCAGGAAUGUAUCUAUCCCUCACAAAACAAGGUGACAUAAUAAAGCAGCACACUGGGAAAGACUAAGCUAACAGGAACUAAACUACAACAGAGCAAUGCAGUUAUGCAGCUAACUCCUAACAGAACAUCUACUCACACAGAAGGCAAAGGGGGAACUUGACAAAAUCGAUCACAAGCCCAUGGCAGUUAUUCUUCAAAAAGAUAACUAUGGAGUGAUUUAAAGGAAACUCAGUCCACUAUUUUCCUCCAUUUCAUUCUUCACGAUCCUGUUGAAAACCAAGCCAAUUCAAAUUCAGAGGAGUGCAGGCAUUAUACAAUAAAGCACUGUUUUGUUUUUUUCAGCAUGUAUCAGCUGAAGGAGAUCCUGUUCCAUUUUGGCAACGGAUGCUUGCUCAACACCCCCAACUACCCCCAACUACCCCCAACCUCAAACAGACAGAGCGGCCUACGUGCCUAAGAGGACGCUGGCAGUGGAGGCCAGUGCAGAAGAAGACUGUGAAACUAAUAAACACCCUCACCUGCCCACCAACCACUCCUUUCAUUGUCCCCAUCUCCUGUCGCGCCGGGUUUUUGCUCCCUGGAGAACAAUAAUCCGGGGCUGUCUUUUUGGAACAAGAUGAGGGGGAAAUUGGGACCGACCCAGAAAUAGCUAAAUUAUCUGACAAGUCUACUAGGCAACUAAAUCAGUCUGGCUUACAUGGGGUCUUACAAGACAGGCGUGACUUGGAGGCUUAUGAUGACAAUAUAGACCCUUUCAACAAUAAAAACAAAAACAAUGCUUGAACGUUC